UUGACCUCAAAUCAGGUAGGACUACCCGCUGACUU
rnacentral:rRNA from 1 species